CAGCAGCCACGGGAAUACGGAGGGUGCAAGCGUUAUCCGGAUUUAUUGGGUUUAAAGGGUCCGUAGGCGGAUCUGUAAGUCAGUGGUGAAAUCUCACAGCUUAACUGUGAAACUGCCAUUGAUACUGCAGGUCUUGAGUAAAUUUGAAGUGGCUGGAAUAAGUAGUGUAGCGGUGAAAUGCAUAGAUAUUACUUAGAACACCAAUUGCGAAGGCAGGUCACUAAGAUUUAACUGACGCUGAUGGACGAAAGCGUGGGGAGCGAACAGGAUUAGAUACCCCAGUAGUCCCUGUCUCUUAUAC
rnacentral:rRNA from 1 species